AACGCGAAGAACCUUACCUGGGUUUGACAUACAGGUGACAGCUUCAGAAAUGAAGCCUUCCCGCAAGGGACGCCUGAACAGGUGCUGCAUGGCUGUCGUCAGCUCGUGCCGUGAGGUGUUGGGUUAAGUCCCGCAACGAGCGCAACCCUUGUCGUUAGUUGCCAACACGUGAAGGUGGGCACUCUAACGAGACUGCCUAGGUUAACUAGGAGGAAGGUGAGGAUGACGUCAAGUCCGCAUGGCCCUUAUGCCCAGGGCUACACACGUGCUACAAUGGUCGGUACAGAAGGCAGCAAUAUCGCGAGGUGGAGCAAAUCCCGAAAGCCGGCCCCAGUUCAGAUUGUAGUCUGCAACUCGACUACAUGAAGAUGGAAUUGCUAGUAAUGGCGAGUCAGCAACAUCGCCGUGAAUACGUUCCCGGGCCUUGUACACACCGACGCAC
rnacentral:rRNA from 1 species